rnacentral:rRNA from 1 species
CUACGGGUCGCUGCAGUGAGGAAUAUUGGUCAAUGGGCGAAAGCCUGAACCAGCCAUGCCGCGUGAAGGAUGACGGCCCUAUGGGUUGUAAACUUCUUUUAUACGGGAAGAAACACCUCUACGUGUAGAGGUUUGACGGUACCGUACGAAUAAGCAUCGGCUAACUCCGUGCCAGCAGCCGCGGUAAUACGGAGGAUGCAAGCGUUAUCCGGAUUUAUUGGGUUUAAAGGGUACGUAGGCGGAAACUUAAGUCAGUAGUGAAAGCCCGCAGCUUAACUGUGGAACUGUUAUUGAUACUGGGUUUAUUGAAUAUUGUUGAGGUAGGCGGAAUAAGUAAUGUAGCGGUGAAAUGCUUAGAUAUUACUUAGAACACCGAUUGCGAAGGCAGCUUACUAAGCAAUUAUUGACGCUGAGGUACGAAAGCGUGGGGAGCGAACAGGAUUAGAUACCCGUGUAGUC